CAUCCCCUGCGGUGUUCGUAAGCAACCCGGGUAUUUUCUUGAGCCUAAUAUCUACCCUGGGAACAUAACGAAAGUGUCGGUGUGCAUGUCCGUUUCCAUGCGGAAAGCCUGAAGCACCUCUGUUGUUCCCACUUGAACCCAUUGGUUCAAGAACAAAGGUACGCGAUGGCACAUGUGGGGGAUGU
rnacentral:other from 1 species